CUAAUGUGCCCCCAUUAAGCAGAUUACUACCUUUGGAUUAACAGGACUUCCAUGAUGUGAAUGUUUGUUCUCUUGUUGGUCUCCCAUAAUUCAUGUUCACUAAUUUUUUCCUCUGCAUGAUCAAGUCUGUGGUUGAAGCUCUCUGUUGAACUUUUUGAUUGUAUGAGCAUAUUCUUCAGUUUCAGAAUUUCUGUGUUUGUCUUUUUCAUGGUUUUCUUUAUUAAACAUCUCAUUUCAUAUUUGCCUUAUUUAUUUAAUUUCAUUUAGUUGUCUUUUUUUUUCAUGUCAUUGAAUGUCUUUCAUAAAAUUAUUUUGAAAUAUUCAUCA